CUGCUGCAGGCUCCCUUCCCUGAGCCUGCCCCGUGGCCUCUGCUUGGCAUUUGCGCCGUGCGACAUCCCCGCGCAGCCGCCCUCCUCAAAGGCCGCAGCUGCCCAGGAGCGGAGGAGCCGGGCGGGGGCCGCUCUCCCGCCUUCGGGUGCCGCAGGAGGCAGGCCAUUGUUCCGGGCGCCUCCGAACAGCGGGGCCCAGUUCAGGCAGCAAGAGGCGUGGAAAAUACGACCAGGGGCCAGACAAUAGCCGAGGCUCUCUUCUCCCAGCGCCGGAAGCACCCGAAGGCUGAAGAAACAAACGGCGGCGAGAAUCGGAUCCAGCAGGCCGGACGGCUGUCGCUGCGGCCAUUAACUCCUUCGCCCCCGCCGCCUUCGGAGAUACCUCCGAGAGCAAGCCCGGUCGCGGCGUGCUGCUCGUCGGGCUGGUUGCAAAGGAAACAUUAUUGCCAACAGACUCCCGGGUUCCCGGCCGCCUGCCUGCCACCGCCGUCGUAAAUCAACGGGCCAGCCGCCCCUGGGCGCCUGGCAGGGGCUGAAACGCGCGCGUUGGGCAGCGCCAGUAGGAUAACCCUCCGCUGCUCGACGGCGCCUCCUCCUCCUCCAGCCGGGCCUGGUAUUCUUGACGCAGGCUUGGCUCGCGUCGGGGCGGCAGCAGAGAGCUGGCCGCUGCCUUGGACGGAAGCUGGAGGCGGAGGAGGAAACCCGCUUCAGCUCUUUGGCCGGGGGAUGCAGCUUGUAACCGGCGGUGGAGUCCGAGCCAAGGGAACUCCUGCUCCGGUGGUGUGUAUAGAAGGGACGCCUUGAAGAGAGGAUUUUACGACUGCUGAACGCCUGGCGGAUCGUGCAAAGGAAAACGCAGGCGCGCAGGGGCGAGCCCUGUCCGUAUGGAACUGGAAUGCAGCCCUGACACCUGAAGGCCCAGCAACAUUCCUGCCCGCAGAACCUGUCGUGAGGCAGGAGCCGCUUCAUCAGAGGCACAAAGAAAUGGGCAGAGAACGAGUGACUUGCCCAAAACUCAACGUUCCCAAGUCCAUGCUAGCGGUGUGACAUGAACUCACGUCUUCCAAGCCCAACUCUCUUCCCAAUACAUUUUGAAAGCCCGAAAGAUGGGGAACUGGGAGGCAGAGAACAACUUGCCCAAGAGGCCACACAAGGAGUCGAUGACACAUCGGAGGACUUGAACUCAUUUUUCCCUGAGCCCGACUGAAGGCCUAAUUUAAACACGAAGUUGCAAAGAGAUUCCCAGUGCAGCUUCCAGGUAAAGCAGCUCCAUUUGCACACCUGCACACUUAUCUGCAAGGGCUCCGGAUCUCUGGUGUGCAAACUAAGUGGAUGUAAUUGGCUUCCACAGAUUGCAGCACAGUUUAAACCAAAUCCAGAGCCUGUGAAAAUCAUAUGGGGAAGCUGUUUGCCUCAUCCGCUUAUAUUUGAAUCACACUUCAGGUUUGGUCUACAAAUGCAGAAGAAUGUAGAGGUGGUAGAAUUCCAGGAGGCUAAUAUUAUACGCUCGAAUGUUUAGCUCUUGAAAUGCUGCUGGACUGAUUAUUUUCUUCAUAUGUGCAGAUAUUUCUGUCUUUUAACAGUAUGCCUUUUGUUUUUUAAAGUUUUUAUUCCUCCUUGUAUUUAUCUCAGAUCCCUCAGUGAAGUAUAUGUGAAGCAUGUCGGGGUCUCCCAAGUGUAUGUACUGGUGCUGUUUAUAGUCUGCCUUUCUCACUGAGACUCAAGGCGGAUUACACAGUUUAGACCAAUACAAUCAACAGCUGAGAUGUUCAAUAAACAUUCAGUAAACAAUUCAAUAUGGUAAGAAUGGCAGAAAUCUGAUACAAAGCUGAAAGCAAUGCUGAAACAAAGAACAAGCAAAUUGACAUGACGUACUACCAGGGCUUUUUUCCAGCAGGAACGCGGUGGAACGGAGUUCUGGAACAUCUUGAAAAUGGU